UGGCUCAGUUGGUAGAGCAUGGUGUUUGCAACGCCAGGGUUGUGGGUUCGAUUCCGAU
rnacentral:tRNA from 1 species